rnacentral:lncRNA from 1 species
UUUUUUUUUUUUUUUUUAAUGUAUGCUAUAUUACGGAUCAAAUGGUUUUUGUUCUGAAAUUGAUCGUCAUAACAAUUACUCUGUGAUUUGCUGUUGUUUUUUUUUUUUUUUCCGAAACGAUAUUAGCCAUAUAUUAUCAUCAACUAAACUUUACACUUGGAGCAAAGGCCCCUAAUUCUAUACAAAAGUGCUCAAUAGCACAGAGGAUUGAUCCAUUCCUCAUCAUGCAAUAUGCCUAAGGCAUACUCCCCAACUGUAGUACUAACAUGAUUAUCAUUUUUAGAUAUAAUACCAAAAGAGCACAUUUGAAACAGCACUCUCAAGCUAAGAAUAUCCUCCACAAGAGUAUGCAGCUUGAUAUUUGAUGCACUCCCCGCACUAAUUUGCUGAUGUAGGUGUUUGUUGCAGCUUUGGAUCUUGACUUUUCUCCAACCUCUGACAGCCAAUUUACACAUAGCUAUCUUGAUAGCCUCGGCCUCGUCCAAUUGUGGACAAUUGUAGCUUCUUUCAUUAAUAGCCCAGGCUGCAACCAUCGCAUCUCCUUCAGUCAUAGCAGUUACACCUAUUCCAACCUUUUUGCUGUUUAGUUUGCUCAGAGCAGCAGCCUUAACUUGGAUCACCUCUGCAUUCUCUGAUUCUAUUCUUUGCAUUUGGUAAGCAGCUGUUUCUGCUGUGCUCGCUUGCUCCUGCUGUUUGUAGGCUUCGCUGAACUCCAUCCAUUCCUCUUGAGCUUUCUGGAUAGUUGCCAAGGCAUGUCUUUGUUUGUUGUUGAAUUCCCAUUCAUUUCUGCUUUUCCAUACUUGCCACAAGAUGUUAACUGUUAGCGCAAGGUGUUCUUCACCAUCCUGCCUCGAUUUGGCUCCAGUAAUUUCAGUCCACCAGGCCUUAAAACAGCCUUGUUUGUCCUUUGCACCCCCCCAUUGUAUUGGUGCAAUCUGCCAAACCUGCUUAGCCUGACUGCAGUUCAGCAGCACAUGUUCCACCGUCUCUUCCCCUUCACCACAUGCUUUACAGAUGGGAUCUCCUUUCUUAGACCUACUAAAGAUGACUUCCUUGACUGGGAGUGCAUUAUUAAUGCAUUUCCACAUGAAGGUCUUUAGUUUCUGUUUGAUGUUUAGUUUCCAUAGGCAGGACCACAUCUGUUUUGCUGCAUUCUGUGUACUAGGACCAUCGCCCUUAUAUCCAACCCCUUCUUGAGCCACCUUCUCUUUCAUGAGUACCUUGUAACCUGUGCUCACUGUGUACUGUCCUGUAGGAGAGUGCAUCCAGAAAUUACGGUCCUCCUUUCCUGAUAAGCUUAUAGGUAUAUUUAGGAUUCUUUCAGCAUCCUUACUAUUAAAAUUUCUGAACACUUCCACUCUAUUCCACCUCUUCUGGAUGAUUAAGUCUUGAACUCUCUGCACUUUGCAUUCUGGAGGUUUGGGUGUUGAGGGCCUUCCUUCCUUGUUCCCAACAAUCCACUUGUCCUCCCAGACAUCUAUACUGCACCCAUUUCCAACUUUCCUCCAGGUGCCAUCCUCCAUCAAACGUUUAGCUCCCAUCAGGCUCUGCCAGAUCCAUGAAGCAUUCUGUGGGCACUUGCACUUGAAGAUGGAUCCUGUAGGGUAGUAUUUCGCUUUCAAAACCUUGGAGAUAAGCAAGUUUGGAUUUACCAGCAACCUCCAAAUCUGCUUACCAAGCAAUGCUCUGUUAAAAUUGACCAAGUCUUUGAAACCAAGUCCUCCCUGGUUCUUGGUUUGUGACAUUCUCUUCCAGGAGCAAAGAUGCAUCUUAUCCUUUCCAUCAGUUUCUCCCCACCAGUAGCUUGCCAUAAGUGCACUGAUCUUUUUACACAGUUUCAGAGGUAGUUUAAAGCAUGACAUAGCAUAAGUUGGCAUAGCUAGAGUCACUGCUUUUAGCAAGACCUCCUUCCCUGCUUGAUUCAGCAAUUUCUGUUUCCAGCUUCCAAACUUCUUUUGAAUGUUGUCUCUAAUGAAUCCAAAGAUUUGGUCCUUCGACCUCGUUAUCACCAUAGGCAGCCCCAGGUAUUUGCCUUGGCUGACCAUCUGGAUAUUCCCCAGCUUGCCGCAGAUUUCCAGCUUUCUGUCCUGCUCCAUAUUUUUGCUGAAGAAGAUAGAGGACUUCUCCAUAUUGAUCGACUGUCCAGAGCUCGUUUCAUAUGUCACCAGGAUCCUCUUCAGCUCCUCAGCUUGGUUGUGAUUUGCUGUUGGGGUUGAAGGCCUUCUCGAUUGUAACUGUUGAAAUAAAAUUACUUAUUAUAUGUUGAUCUCAAUCUGCAUGCUGGUGUUCUGGUUGUUUCUUUUAAUGUUUUUAAGAGGGUUUGGUGGGGGUUGGGCAGAGAAAUGGAGGUCAAGUCCCUUUCCGAAUUGUAAAGGAUGCUAAUGUGUACGUGUCACUACAUAUUGGUCCUUAUGGUCAUUGCUUUACGACAUGCUGAUCUCAAUCCUAGUUGUAAAGCAUUUGCGAAUUGUUCAUUGGAACGGAAGCCCUUCUGAAUCAUGACCCAAAAAAGGAAAAAAGUUGUAAAAAAUUUGGUUUUUCUCCCCUUAGAAAAUUGGAAAUUUUUAGAUAUGUCCGUUUUGAACUUAAACUUUUGCCCCCUCAAAAACGUGAAAUGUUAUAUAUAGUUAAGUUUUAGAUAUGUGAGCUUGCUAAUAAAUUUUCUGGUUCUUUCGAUAUGUACAAAGUAACUUCUACAUAUUAAUUGGGUUAUGGCUUAUCUCUCUCUGAGCUGCAAUGCAAUCCAUACAUCUGUAAAUGAGUGGGUAAAAUUGAAGCUGAAGCCUUUCUGAAAUGUAAUGCAUGCUUACCUAUUUUUGUUUUUCACACUAAUUGAAACUGACACUUAGGGACAAGAAAUCAAGAGUGUACAUACUUCACGGAGUUGUGAGUAAUUUUCUGUAUCUGGUAAAGUUGCCAUUCUAUCUCAAGCUUUAACACAUAUGACUUGGUAUCAGAACCUGGUAUUGGCACCUUAAAGUGCAGUCAAAUCUCAAAAGCAUAAAUUCUAUUUUAUGCAUAUAUUUAUAUGUUUUUGUGUUUUCGUAUUCUUUUUUAAGUCCUUUCUUAUUUGAGACUUGAUGGAUUUAAGGUUGGUUAUUUUAGUGUUUCCCUAUUUUGGUUCACAUCUUUCCUUUUCUUUCACAAAACAAGAUCUGUAUCUCAUAUUUCAUACGGGAAUGGGCAAUUGAAACAACUAGAAAAGCAUAAAGAAAAUUAUGCCAAGUUUGGUGUUGUAUAGAUUUCCAUUUUUUCUAAUUUGUAAUCCUUUGAAAUCCUAGUGUGUUUUGCUGGUUUGUUCAUCAAUUUUGUAUGGCCAACAAAAUGCUGUAUGCUGUCUAAACUUAUGUCUUCCAGGUAGUUUCUUGUAGAGACCCUUAGCACAAAAUGAAAGAGAGAACAAUUAGUGUAAGAAAAAUGGAAUGGAAACACGACACUGGUAUAUCUGCAGGAGUAUACUCAUCGUCCAUGUCCCAAUGCUAUUCUGAUGUUCAAAUUUUAUUUUAUUUUUUUGUAAGCGAGUAUUGUAUUUUUGUCUUUAUUUAAUGGGCUGGUAGUUGAUCUGCUAACAUAGGUGGAUUGUCCCAUUUUUAAGUACUUUAGGAAGACAUUUAGAUGGUUAUAAAGAUAAAUAUUGUACUAGCUAACAAUAUUAGUGUUAACUUUAGCAUUAUGAUAACUGUAGCUUACUCAUCAAAUUGACCACUUCUAGACAGAGAGAUUUAAAACAGGGUGAAGAGAUAAAUAUAACAAUCAAAUGAACUUUUUGUAUAGUAUUUAUUGAUGCAUCUGAUAUUGGAUAUCUUGUCUAGCACUCACCCAAAAGAGACUAGAGAUUCACUGAGUCUGUAAUUAUUUGGUCGGUAGUUGUAUUACAAUAAUCAUUUGCAGUAUCAUUCCUUCAGAUUUUAUAGGUUUGCACUCUUCAUUAUAUUGCACAUAGUUUAUGCUAUCGUUUUAGGUGGUAUGUAUGACAAAUUGGUGAAUUGUGAUAUGAAAUGUGGUCUUUGUUUUGUCUUUAUGACAGUUGCCUCUUAUAAUCUAACUUCUUUAUGACAAAUAGAUUCAUCUAACUUGUACAGCUGAAAAGCAUUCGUGAUUUGAUGCAUUGUCUUGUUUUGUCUUUGUGACUGCUGCCUCUUUGUUAGGACUAUCUAACUUCUUUAGCAUUUCUCUACUGCUUUCUUUCCACACUGAUGUUUGGAAUGACCUUGAAUGAUGCAGUAACCUGAUUCCAUUAACCCCAUCACCGAGCAGUACUUGGAUUCCUGAAAUUGCUUUUGUUUCCCUCUAUUUUUGGUGCAGUUUGUCUCAUUUCAUUAUUUAGGUCCUUGCUUGCUUGUUAGGUUUUUCUCUGGAUCAUGAAUCUUCUUGAAACUCAUUGAUUGUGAACUAUCCACAGAGAGAGCUUUGCAGUUUAAUUGCUGAACCAAUCUGAGCACCCUACCAGAACUUUUGGCCUCCAUUAUAUGGAAUGUAAAUGGAUCUAGUCUUGAGCUUAUUGAUUUCCUUUUAAUGUGACUUUUGCUUUUUUUUUUUCCUUCCCCUGGAGGUUGGUGAUUUGGAAGGGUUCUGCAUUUACAUUUUUCUUUUCUUCUCACUUGAGGUUGAUGGACCAACUGUUUUUUCUUUUAGGAUGGAAAUGAAGUCUUUUUCAGGAUCAAAAGAAGUACUCAGCUUAAAAAGCUUAUGAAUGCUUAUUGUGACCGCCAGUCUGUGGAUCUUAAUUCAAUUGCAUUCCUGUUUGAUGGGCGUCGUCUUCGCGGAGAGCAGACUCCCGAAGAGGUCCUUCUCUUCCCUCCCAAGCCCUCAACCCUGAAAAUAUACUUCCCGGCCAUAUGCAUUAACAUUCGUUGAAUCAGUUUAUUCUUAUCCACCACCUUUCUUUUCCCUUGUACACAGUCUUUGGUCAGGUAAUGAUGUAUUUCCUUUUUGUUUUCUUCAGCUGGAAAUGGAAGAUGGGGACGAGAUUGAUGCAAUGCUGCACCAAACUGGAGGCUAAAGCUUUUGAUAAUAAAAUGCAGUUUGUUUGAUGAAAAAACUUAAAUUUGUAGACUUGGGAGUGUAAUUCGUGAAACUUUUGGAAAGCAGAGGAGUGAUCCUGUUUUAUUAAUUUUAAAGCUGGCUGUUCGGAUAUAAAUAUUGUGGACUUGUUAUUAUCCAGAUAAUGUUUGGAUUGUGGAUAUGGCAAAAUGGCAAUGGUAUCAUGCAUGCAGUGCUAAAUUUUCAGGCUUGAGCCUUUUUUAUUUAUUUAUUUUUAUUUUUUAAACGCUGUAGGUAGUUUAUAUCACUCUACCGAAUGAGGUCCUGCUUGCUUCUUCUAAUUUCUUGUGUUUCCAUUAAUUCUACUGUCAUCGGGGUUAGAUUGCUUAAGACAGGCAAAUUAAGCCUUGAAUUCUUGUAUGUCAUAAAGCUACAAAAACGAUUUUGUUUGCUAGGAGUGAUGGUUCAAAGUGUAGUGAUUUUGUUUUUGCAUUCCAACUUACAAUUUGGAUUGGAGGAGGGAUGGAUUGGAUGUUACGGAGCAAGAAGUGUAAGUGAGGGACUUAGGUUCAAAACCUUCCACUUACACUUACCAAAAAAAAAAAAUUAAAAAAAAACCUACAAUUUGGAUUUACAAAAAUGAUUUUGUUUCUUGCGUGCCAACCUACACUUUGGAGAAGUUUUUUUUUGCAUUUAUAUGCUAAAUGAUACCGUAGUUGUAUUGCAAAUUUAGAAAGAGUAAAUCUUUUUUUUACACUGAUGGUAUAUACACUAUCAUCGUUGGAUUCAUGAAAUAUUAUUCCUUGUAAAUUGUGAUGGACUCGUUUUCUUGCCUUCAACAAAUUUGUUUUUACGGACAAUUAACUUUUUUCCAUUUCCUUAUCUUUCACUUAUUUGCAAUUUCUCUUGCUUUUGGACUUGCAUGUCAUGGCAAGUAGAAGACUAAUUUGCAUAUUCUUUGAAGAUUUUCCCUUAGGUUGGUAGGCUUUAAUUACAUUAUAACAUUGUCUUAAUUGGUCCCACCAACCAAUAUGCACACAUUAAAUUAGUUCCCCUUCAUAUAUAUAUAUAUAUGAAUAAAUAAAUUUAUUUGUGUACAUAGACACAAAUACAGUAUGUUUCAUUUAUCAUUCGCCUAAGUGCCUUGCUUGUUACAAUCAGUUGAGAGAUGCAAAGAAAUUGCAAAGAAAUGUGGCUUUUAGACACACCUGCCCUCGCCCUCAGGGGCUUGGUCUGGUGGUUGAGGUUGCUGAAAAUGGAGCCUCAGGUCCCUGGUUCGAACCUUGCUGCCAGCAAGUUGCUGAGGGUGGUGAAUAGUCUGCGGGGUCCACUCCCUGCGGGACACACCUAAAAAAAAAAAAAAAAAAAAAAAGAAGACACACCUGCCCUCAAAAUAGUUGCAGAAUUUCCCUGUAAGAUAAGGCAAUAUCAGCUAUAAAUUCAUGAUGUAUCGUGGAAUAAUCCCUUGUAUUUAUAGUAGAAGAAUGGCAAUGUUUUCAAUCAAACUCAAUCAAUGGCCUAAUAUUGAAGACCAAAUAUGGAAGAAUCAGUCGUAUAUACAAGGCCGCAAAAGCUCCCUCCAGAAGAAGACUCAAAGCUCUUCAAGAUUAAGUGAAAGCUUUGUAAAGUUACUCCAAUCUGAUGGUUAUUGCUGACAAAUUUUGCAUCAAAAGGGCUGCUUGGAAUAUCAACUGAAUGAAAUAACUAUGAAUCAUCAUUGUCAAGACACUGUUUCCAUAUAUCUCUUGGGGUUGAUAACAAUGGCUGUUUCCAUUAUCACGUUUAAGGGAAAAUAGAAUAGGCAUUUGUACCUUUUGAAUUUCUAGUGCAAAAUCAGGUGCAUUUUUUAAAAUGAAAAAAAUAACUUCAGAAGACAAAUCUUUUCACACAUAAUUUGAUAAAAUUCAAAUAGGGAUGACCGAUAACUGCCGAAUCUGAAGCGACUAAUAAGCCAAAAAAAAAAAAAAAAUUUCAGAGUUUCCUGUACAGAGCAGUAGAGUUGCCUCCUUAUGGCCAAAUAUAUGCAGUUCACAACUAUUGCAAUCCAAGAAGAAAUGAAUCAUGACGAAUGCAGGUUCUCUGUAUAACAACCAUCAGCCAUCUAUAAUUGAGGUGGAAUAUAAGAAUCCACUUGAAAUACAAAAAUAUGAUUGGAUGAAAAUGCAACUGGAAAAGGGACCAAAUUCUCAUAUGAGUUUAUUUACACACCAGGAAAAUUCCAACCAAUGUUGAAAUAUAACAAUAUAUUACAUAAAAGGGAAAAAAAACCCGAUAGUAACAAUAUAUUGAAAUUUACAUUAUACAAUGUAAAAAGGGGAAAAAACCGAUAGUAAUUACAUUUUAAGCUAUUAAUUACAAGAUUUAUACUUAUUAUCCUAGUCUACAUUAU